rnacentral:rRNA from 1 species
UACGUAGGGUGCAAGCGUUGUCCGGAAUUAUUGGGCGUAAAGAGCUCGUAGGCGGUUUGUCGCGUCUGCUGUGAAAACUCGGGGCUUAACUCCGGGCCUGCAGUGGGUACGGGCAGACUAGAGUGCGGUAGGGGAGACUGGAAUUCCUGGUGUAGCGGUGAAAUGCGCAGAUAUCGGGAGGAACACCUGUGGCGAAGGCGGCCCCCUGGUUGGAUACUGACGCUGAUACGCGAAAGCGUGGGGAGCAAACAGG